GCAACUCGCCUGCAUGAAGUCGGAAUUGCUAGUAAUCGCGGAUCAGCAUGCCGCGGUGAAUACGUUCCCGGGCCUUGUACACACCGCCCGUCACACCAUGAGAGCCGGUAACACCCGAAGUCAGAAGCCUAACCGCAAGGAGGGCGCUGCCGAAGGUGGGAUUGGUAAUUGGGGUGAAGUCGUAACAAGGUAGC
rnacentral:rRNA from 1 species